CCUUCGAAGAGUCGAGUUGUUUGGGAAUGCAGCUCUAAGUGGGUGGUAAAUUCCAUCUAAAGCUAAAUAUUGGCGAGAGACCGAUAGCGAACAAGUACAGUGAUGGAAAGAUGAAAAGAACUUUGAAAAGAGAGUGAAAAAGUACGUGAAAUUGUUGAAAGGGAAGGGCUUGAGAUCAGACUUGGUAUUUUGUAUGUUACUUCUUCGGGGGUGGCCUCUACAGUUUAUCGGGCCAGCAUCAGUUUGGGCGGUAGGAGAAUUGCGUUGGAAUGUGGCACGGCUUCGGUUGUGUGUUAUAGCCUUCGUCGAUACUGCCAGCCUA
rnacentral:rRNA from 1 species